rnacentral:rRNA from 1 species
ACGUAGGGGGCAAGCGUUGUCCGGAAUCAUUGGGCGUAAAGGGCGCGUAGGCGGCCUGGUAAGUCUGGAGUGAAAGUCCUGCUUAUAAGGUGGGAAUUGCUUUGGAUACUGUCGGGAUUGAGUGCAGGAGAGGUAAGUGGAAUUCCCGGUGUAGCGGUGAAAUGCGUAGAGAUCGGGAGGAACACCAGUGGCGAAGGCGACUUACUGGAAUGUAACUGAUACUGAGGAGCGAGAGUGUGGAGAGCAAACAG